rnacentral:rRNA from 1 species
GACGAACCGUCCAAACGUUAUUCGGAAUCACUGGGCUUACAGAGUUCGUAGGCGGUCUGGAAAGUUGGGUGUGAAAUCCCUCGGCUCAACCGAGGAACUGCGCUUGAAACUACCAGACUCGAGGGAGAUAGAGGAAAGCGGAACUGAUGGUGGAGCGGUGAAAUGCGUUGAUAUCAUCAGGAACACCGGUGGCGAAGGCGGCUUCUGGGUCUUACCUGACGCUGAGGAACGAAAGCCAGGGGAGCGAACGGG